UGGUGCAUGUUGAUGGAUAUCCUUGAUU
rnacentral:piRNA from 1 species